GAAAUGCGAUAAGUAAUGUGAAUUGCAGAAUUCAGUGAAUCAUCGAAUCUUUGAACGCAUAUUGCACCCCUUGGUAUUCCGAGGGGCAUGCCUGUUCGAGCGUCAUUUCAACCCUCAAGCUCUGCUUGGUAUUGGGCCUUUCGCCGGAGGACAACCCCUCGGCGUGCCUUAAAGUUAUCGGCGGUGUUGCCCUGCUUCAAGCGUAGUAGAAUAUAGCUUUCGCUUUGGAAGUUGGGGCUGCACCUGCCGGCUGAACCGGGCACUAUGUGCCCAACUCUCUAAGGUUGACCUCGGAUCAGGUAGGGAUACCCGCUGAACUUAAGC
rnacentral:misc_RNA from 1 species